UGGAAAGAGAGGAACCUAUCUCCCCAUAAAUGGGAUUACAACCCAUCGCUUACUUUCAGCCAUCUUACC
rnacentral:tRNA from 1 species